CUCCCGCUCAAAUCUCGAAAUCUCAGGGUGGCUCAACAUCUAAAAAACCUAACAGAUUAAGCCCUACCUUCUUUCUCUCUCGCCUCUCUCCCUCUCCCUCUCCCCCAGAACAAGGCUUUGUUACUCCCAAUCUAUAAGCCAGCUCGUCCAUAAAGCCACAGGCUCGGAGCGCUCUUAUUUUUUUCUCACGAAGUGCUCUCUCUUCCUUCUGUCUCCCUGUCUCGCCUGAAACCUAAUCCUCUCCUUUCCAGGGUGGCCAUUGGAGCUCUCUUCAAGCUUCUGAUAUAUCAUAUCAGGUACAGAAACAAUCCAUUUGCAGUAAUGUCAAUAUAUUUCCAGGUAUCCAAACGGCCCUUAGUGACUUAGAUUGUCGGUCAUAAAAAGAAGGGUUGGGCAGAGGGUAAAGAAGAGAAAAUUUUUUGCAUUAGAUUCUUGUAGGAGAAGGAAACAAUUCGAGGACAUGAAAAAGCUUCUAGAAAUGAAAUUGGCAUAGACCAAACUGCAUUUUUCAAAGAUAUUGCAAGAUGAUGAUGAGACUUAACCGGCUUUGGAGUGGUUCUACGUUGCUUUAGGCCCUAAAAUAACUUUGUUCACAGGAAAUGGUAUUUCUGGUGUAAUCUACAGAAAUCAGAUUUAAGAAAGAUGAUAAACCACCUGUGUAGUGAGUUAAAGAAAGAAGAAAGUAGUAGCUUUUAUAGCAUGCUGUUGAUUGAGGAAAUCAGACUGCUUGGAGACUGUCCGCUAUACUUCAUAAUAAGAAAUAAUCAAACCAAUGUUGUAUGUAUAGUUUAGUCAGUUUGUGUUCAUCAAAUUGCCAGCUAAUUGGAGUUCAUUGCAAUCAGAACAUUGUGAUCCAUGUUUUAUCUUUCAGCUAUUGAGGUUCUAAAGAUCGAAUGUAAUGAACAACUGUCCAGCAAUGAUCAAUAUCAAACUAUGUUCAGUGGUUUGCCACUUGAACCGUUAAUUUGUGUUGUAGCAGAACUACGUUCUUCAUUCAUUUUCUGUCUCACGGAUUCUUAUGCUAUCAACAUCUGAUAUUGAUGCUUCUCUUCAAUAAUUGCAAAAGCUCAUGUGCCUAUCCAUUACAUUUGGAAACCCUUAUCGCUCAUGCCUUGCAUUUGAAGUUGUAAGAAUAACCACAUUCAUCUUGAAGUUUUUCUCCCUUUUUGUAAUGUUACAAAUAUUCUCAAUCUAAACUUUCCUACCCAUUUCCCUGUGAAUCUUUCUUUCAUUUACUAACCAUGAAAUUCCUGUCCUGCAAUGAAUGAGAAAUCAAUGUGGCAGCAAACCCUGUUGAAGAGGUGCAUUAAUUUCCCAAGCCAAAAGAGUUAAUAUGUCUCAUGAUUGAGUUUUUGACCAAUCGAAGUAUACAACAAAAUCAUAAAUAUUCAAACGCCCUCACCUCAAAUGGUCAUGUUAUGAUUUGCCAGUGAUAAUUUGCGCAAAAGAGGGAGAAUUUUGUUUGGAAGGCAUUGGCAUUUUCUUUGUUGAAUGGACAGGUUUUGAAGAGCCUUAGCUCCAUAAACCAUAUAAGCAUGCAUGAAAGUUAUUGUAAUAUGUUAGUAAUUCAAAUAAUUAUGUAAGUGUUCCCAAUUUACAUUGCAAACAAAUGCCCCUUAAAAACUUGAAUGAUAUAUUUUUCAUCUGAUAUUAUGAAAAUGAUGAUUGUACAUAUUUUUCUAUU